UACGUAGGCAGCGAGCGUUGUUCGGAUUUACUGGGCGUAAAGAGUGCGUAGGCGGUUUUCUAAGUUUGGUGUGAAAUCUCCCGGCUUAACUGGGAGGGUGCGCCGAAAACUGGAAGGCUUGAGUAUGGGAGAGGUAAGCGGAAUUCCUGGUGUAGCGGUGGAAUGCGUAGAGAUCCGGAAGAACACCGGUGGCGAAGGCGGUCUGCUGGGCAGUUGCUGACACUGAUGCGCGACAGCGUGGGGAGCAAACAGG
rnacentral:rRNA from 1 species